GGGGUUGUGGCUCAGCGGUAGAGUGCUCACCUAGCAAGUGCAAGGCGCUGGGUUCGAUCCUCAGCACCACA
rnacentral:tRNA from 1 species